AGGUGAAAACAGAGGAAAAAGGGUAGAAAAUCCCUCUUGAAUGCCUGUGGGAAGGAACCCGCCCGUUUGGGCUCCGCGCGCCGCUCGCACAUGUGCACACACAGCCAGCACAAGAGGUGCGCACAUCUCAUCUGCACAAGGUGCAAGGCACAAUCUGUGCGCGCGACUCAUCAAAGGUAGAUGGGGACGCAUCCCAUCGCGCCGGUAGGCCUUCGCAAGCGAUAGGCAAAGCCUGAAAUGUGCGACAGGCUGGGGUAGCAUGCGCUAC
rnacentral:lncRNA from 1 species